rnacentral:tRNA from 1 species
GGAGACGUGGCUGAGUGGUUGAAGGCACCGGUUUCGAAAACCGGCAUCUGGGAAACCGGAUCGGAGGUUCGAAUCCUCCCGUCUCCGCCA